CGAUCCUCACAUCCUCUAUUGACAGUCUUGACACAGAACUGUCAAACCCUUAUAAUACUAAGGUCAACAUUCA
rnacentral:tRNA from 1 species